rnacentral:lncRNA from 1 species
UGUAACUAAUUGCUCCUAUAGAUAACAUCACUAUUGUAGAACGUGAGAUUGGUCUUUUGAGAUGUUUCUCAUUCUUUUGCAUUCUGGCAACCGGCUGACCUCAUCCAUACCUAUGACUAAUGGCUCAGCCCGUCAUGUGGUCCCUACCUAGAGGUGGAUUCAAGCACAAACAGAUCAUUUCCCUCCGCCCGCAUGAUUCCAUCACCAAUCAGCAGUACUCAUUUUUUAGUCCUGUGCCCCUGAAACUAUCCUUGAAAAUCUCUAAGCCCUGAUCCACUGGGGAGGCUGAUUUGAGAGGCCAGAAGAACUUGCCUGGCAAUUAUGAGUGGAUGGAGGAACUGCCUAUCCCUGUCCCAUUGUCUUGUCCACAGGUCAGCCUCACAAAGGGAAAGAGCCCUGGAUGGGAAUACAGUGGAAGCUCAUUCUCUUAGUGACCUGGGGACAUUGGCUCGAGAUGAAGCCUGGCAGGAGUGGCAACUCCAGGUGAUUUCUGCACCUUUCCUAUUUCCUGGGAGGUGGGCCAGGCCACAGUGUUAGUGGGAAGGGAACAGAACAGCCAGCCUAGUCAGAGGGAGUGUCUGGGGAAGGCCUAGGGGUGGGGGAAGAAGCUGUGCAGGACAGGGCUUGCCAGUCAGAAUGAAGUGGGAGGAAGAUGAGGGACACAGAGAAGCAGAGAGAGGCAGAGACACCAUGGCAGUGAGCAGUGAGGGAGACACUGACUUCAAAAACCCCAGGGACCAGGUGCCCCCAGCUCCACAGUCCAGGACCAAAGAGCCCUGAGAACCCUCCAGUGGCCAAAGAGCUUCAGAAUUACAUGAGCUGGGGUGGCUUUAGGGGCAAGAGGUAGUGGGGGGAUGAAACAUGGGUGUCAGCCUCUGAAGGACAAGGGACAGGUGUGGCUAGAAACUCCUAGGAUUCUGCAUGCAAAUUCAGUCUCUAAAGAGGUUUUGGAUCAUUCAUUUCAUUCCAUUCCUUCAUUUGUUAUGUGAGAGCUCCUGAGUGUGUGUCUGUCUCGCUGGGCCUGUGCUGGUGUAGGGUGUGAGUGGGGAAAGAAAAGGUCCUCUCCUUGAUCCUCUCAUGACAGUGACAUGGACACUUUGGGAAACACAGGAUUUCAGGUUCAGUGAUGGGGGCUAAGAUCUGAGGGGGAGGCCUGGACAUGUUUUUUCCACUGACUCUGAUGGUUGAGGCAGGUGAUUUAGUUCUGGAGUACAGACUAAUGAUUUCUGCACCUUUCCUAUUUCCUGGGAGGUGGGCCAGGCCACAGUGUUAGCGGGAAGGGAACAGAACAGCCAGCCUAGUUAGAGGGAGUGUCUGGGGAAGGCCUAGGGUUGGAGGAAGAAGCUGUGCAGGACAGGGCUUGCCAGUCAGAAUGAAGUGGGAGGAAGAUGAGGGACACAGAGAAGCAGAGAGAGGCAGAGACACCAUGGCAGUGAGCAGUGAGGGAGACACUGACUUCAAAAACCCCAGGGACCAGGUGCCCCCAGCUCCACAGUCCAGGA